rnacentral:rRNA from 1 species
GUAACACGUGGGUGAUCUGCCCUGCACUCUGGGAUAAGCCUGGGAAACUGGGUCUAAUACCGGAUAGGACCAUGCUUUAGUGUGUGUGGUGGAAAGUUUUUCGGUGUAGGAUGAGCCCGCGGCCUAUCAGCUUGUUGGUGGGGUAAUGGCCUACCAAGGCGGCGACGGGUAGCCGGACUGAGAGGUUGGUCGGCCACAUUGGGACUGAGAUACGGCCCAG